GCCAGGGUGGCUCAGUCGGUUGAGCGUCCGACUUCGGCUCAGGUCAUGAUCUCAUGGUUUGUGGGUUCAAGCCCCACAUCGGGCU
rnacentral:tRNA from 1 species